UGUAGGUCUGGCAAUUGGAAUGAGAACAAUUUAAACCCCUUAUCGAGGAACAAUUGGUGGGCAAGUCUGGUGCCAGCAGCCGCGGUAAUUCCAGCUCCAAUAGCGUAUAUUAAAGUUGUUGCAGUUAAAAAGCUCGUAGUUGGAUUUCUGGCGGUGUGACUCCGGCCGGCAUGACGUCGGGUCCAGAGCGCGCCACCAUCCUUCUGUCAACCUUCGCGGGAUUCGCUUCCCGCGAUGUGGGCUCAGAUAUUUUACCUUGAGAAAAUUAGAGUGUUUCAGGCAGGCUUUCGCCGGGAUACAUUAGCAUGGAAUAAUAGAAAAGGACUUCAACCUCUUCUGUUGGUCUGAGGGGCUGUAGUAAUGAUUAAUAGGGAUAGUUGGGGGCAUUAGUACUUGACUGUCAGAGGUGAAAUUCUCCGAUUUGUUAAAGACUAACUUAUGCGAAAGCAUUUGCCAAGGAUGUUUUCAUUAAUCAAGAACGAAAGUUAGGGGAUCAAAGACGAUCAGAUACCGUCCUAGUCUUAACCAUAAACUAUGCCGACUCGGGAUC
rnacentral:rRNA from 1 species